AGCUACUGGCAUAGAGGGGGAAAAAAAUCUAAAAAGCCAAAACUUGACACUUAAGCAAUUGCAUAAUUGUGCAAAAGGCUCAGAGUAUGGACAGUGAAGACCUAACCUGUUGCUAGGCAACGCCCUUUUGUUUACAGCUCGCGCUUGCCGCGGUUAAAUUUUGUGCAAAGUUAAUCAGUUUAACGGUCAUUUCUAGCGAGUUAAGUUUCCUUUGUGUGCGUCAAUAAACGGCAAACCACACAUACACACAUGCACACCCACCUGGUUUAAACCUAAGAGGAGAACAGAGAUUGCCUGUGCCUGUGUAUUUGCAUUCCAUUUAUAAUAAACCCCCAAAAGAAUUUCCUGCCUCCGUGUCCUGACCAGACACCCCAUAUUGUUGACAAACUCCUAACCACCAAGAGCUUCCUUACAGUAUUUCUUUUUCCUUAUUUAGAACCACACAUACACACAUGCACACCCACCUGGUUUAAACCUAAGAGGAGAACAGAGAUUGCCUGUGCCUGUGUAUUUGCAUUCCAUUUAUAAUAAACCCCCAAAAGAA